UUUUUUGAGAAUUUGAUCCUGGUUCAGGAUGAACGCUGGCGGCGUGCUUUAGGUAUGCAAGUCGAACGGAUGAGGCCGCAAGGCCAAGUCAGUGGCAGACGGGUGAGUAACGCGUAUGAAUCUACCCUCGAGUGGAAAAUAACUUGUCGAAAGACGGGCUAAUGUUCCAUGGUAUCGCAAGAUUAAAGGAGUUAACUCUCCGCUUGAGGAGGAGCAUGCGUCCUAUCAGCUAGUUGGUAAGGUAAAGGCUUACCAAGGCUAUGACGGGUAUCUGGACUGAGAGGUUGAACAGACACAGGGGCACUGAGACACGGGCUCCACACCUACGGGUGGCAGCAACCAGGAAUAUUGCGCAAUGGGGGAAACCCUGACGCAGCGACGCCGCGUGGAGGAAGACAGCUUUCGGGUUGUAAACUCCUUUUGAUAGUCCCUUCACAGACUAUAGAAUAAGGCCUUACUAACUACGUGCCAGAAGUCUCGGUAAUACGUAGGGGCCAAGCGUUAUCCGGAUUUACUGGGCGUAAAGAGUGUGUAGGCGUCCUUCUAAGUUUUCAUUUAAAUCUCAAGGCUUAACCUUGAAUCUGGUGGAAAUACUGGUUGGAUUGAGGAUUGUUCGGGGUACUAGAACGGUUGGUGUAGCGGUGAAAUGCGUUGAUAUCAACUGGAAUACCAAAGGCGAAGGCAGGUACCUGGAAUUCUCCUGACGCUGAGACACGAAAGCUAGGGUAGCGAAACAGAUUAGAGACCUGUGUAGUCCUAGCCGUAAACUAUGGAUGCUAGAUUCCCCGGAAUCAAGCGUAUAAUGUAAAAAUUUUCUUCGUGUGAUAAUUUUUAAAAAAUUGUACUUUUGAUUUUGGGGAGUCGUAAGCUAACGCGUUAAGCAUCCCGCCUGGGGAGUACGGCCGCAAGGCUAAAACUCAAAGGAAUUGACGGGGACCCGCACAACCAGUGGAGCGUGUGGUUCAAUUUGAGACGAAGCAAAAAACCUCACCAAGGUUUGACAUGUAACCGUACAUUUCCCUAGAAAUAGGGAGAAAUCCGCAAGGAUGGUUACACAGGUGCUGCAUGGCUGUCGUCAGCUCGUGCCGUGAGGUGUCUUAUUAAGUUAAGAAACGAGUGCAACCCCUAUCUUGUGUUAAAUAUUCACAAGAGACUGCCCCGAUUUUAUCGGGGAGGAAGGAGGGGCGGACGUCAAGUCCGCAUGGCCCUUAUACCUUGGGCUACACACACCCUACAAUGGCGAAAAACAAUGCGUCGCAAGCCGGUAACGGCAAGCUAAUCGCUGAAAUUUCGCCUCAGUUCAGAUCGAGGUCUGAAAUUCGACCUCGUGAAGUCGGAAUUGGUAGUAAUCGCAAAUCAGCAGGUUGCGGUGAAUACGUUCUCGGGUCUUGUACACACCGCCCGUCAAGGCAGCAAAGUCGGAAGCUAUCGAAUCCCACCUUUCUGUGUUUGAUUUUAAGUAUAGUUUUAAAUCAUUUUGAGAUUUGAUUUAUUAAGCUAACUUUUUAAUCGAUCGUAGAAAGGUGGGAGAGAUAGAGUUCGAUGAUGAGGCUUAAGUCGUAACAAGGUAUCCCUAGCCGAAGCUGGGGAUGGAUCACCUCCUUU
rnacentral:rRNA from 1 species